rnacentral:rRNA from 1 species
AUUGAACGCUGGCGGCAGGCUUAACACAUGCAAGUCGAACGAGUGGCGGACGGGUGAGUAAUGCUUGGGAAUCUCGCUUAUGGAGGGGGAGAACUACGGGAAACGGUAGCUAAUACCGCAUACCAUCAGAUGAACCCAUAUGGGAUUAGUUUGUAGGUGAGGUAACGGCUCACCUAGGCGACGAUCCCUAGCUGGUCUGAGAGGAUGAUCAGCCACACUGGAACUGAGACACGGCCCAGACUCCUACGGAAGGCAGCAGUGGGGAAUAUUGCACAAUGGGCGCAAGCCUGAUGCAGCCAUGCCGCGUGUAGGAAGAAGGCCUUCGGGUUGGAAAGUACUUUCAGCGAGGAGGCGUUACUCGCAGAAGAAGCACCGGCUAACUCCGUGCCAGCAGCCGCGGUAAUAC